CGUCAAGAGUCUUCGGCGCCAAUUUGGCGAACAAAUUUCUUUUGCCUGCUGACAGGUAAAGAACGAUG
rfam:Aminobacter sp. Root100 contig_12, whole genome shotgun sequence.